CAGAGUAAAUUUUUCAGGGUCUUGGUUUUAUAAAAUUAGUUGAAGGUACUGUUAAAUGAACUUUUGGCUUUGAUAAUGUUGAUAAAAUUACAGGACUUUUAGCAGUCUUAACUGAAGUAUAAAUGACUAAAUGAAUUACAGAUAAUGUGUGAUCUCACACGUUCUUACUUGGCCAUGAAACCAUUACCACAAUCAAGAAAAUGAACAAAUGGACAUCCCCUUCCUUAAAGACAGACAAUUUUGUUCUACAGACAAGAGGAGAGGAAGAUGAUUCUCUGGCCAUUAAACCACCCCAGCAAAUGUCUCGGAAAGAAAAAGCCCACCACAGAAAAGAUGAGAAGAGAAAA